GAUUGGAUAAUGCAAAAAUUAUGUCCGCAAAUUAAUAUCAUGGCUUUGUAUGGCUUUCUAUAUCCUGUCAUCAUCUGUAUGGCUUAUUUAAAAUCAUUCUUGCUCAAAACUGUCUCUACCCUUUAUUUACCAUUAGUUAUCAACAUGUAACUUUGCCCUGUAGCAUCCAUAUGUACCAUCCAGUAAACAGGUAAUGAGAAAACUUAAAGUUAUCAUGAAGAUGUUAUGGUCUUGAUCUAAUACCAAAUUCUUGUAAUUAAUUUAUAAGGAAAUAAUUUGCAGCUAGCAGGGAAAAUAAACAAUUAAUAGAACUUGGGAUUUAAAGGGUUAAUACAAAGUGUGGAUUCUUGUAUUAAAGAUACAAAGUUUUGUGAUCUUUUGACUAUUGGUAUGCACAUUAUUCUGGAAAGAGAAGAUAAUGCAUAAACUGCUAUUUCUCAUCAGCUUCUGAUGCAAUUUGAUGAGCCAUAGACAAACUGAGGACAGAAAGUCAUAUACCAAUUAAUAGACAGGUCAGCUGAUAUUGCAGAACUUAUCAAGUUUGCAGGACCGCCAACCAUAAAACCUGCAUAAUAGAGUUGGUGAAAAAUAAACUAGAAGUAACCAUGGAUUAGGAACCUGUGUUUGCAAUAUUGCUUAGGAAUGAAUAUUUUUGUCUCUACGCAAUAAAAUUUAUAUAAAUAUUGAA